rnacentral:lncRNA from 1 species
GUUGAAUGUGGUAUUUCAGUAUGUUCCUACCUAUUGAAUCUGUCGGUCUGAUGGAGAUUAGUUGGCCGUAAAUGUUUUUUAAAAUUAUUAUAGAAUAAAUAUACAAAUAUUAGUGUAUCUGACGAAGUACCUGCAGCGCCGGCCCCACCACGAAGCCCAGCACCUGCGCCAGCGACACCCAGGCCACGGCGCGCGUGCGCUCCGACACCAGCGUGGCUGACGACAGAAUCCUAAAAAGAUAUAUGAAUUAUGAAGGUCAAGACAAACUAAGGUAUAUAUAUAGUUAACCUGAGCUAACACCGACGAGAAA